GCCAGGCAUGGUGGUGCAUGCCUGUAAUCCCAGUUACUUGGGAGGCUGAGGCAGGAGAAUCACUUGAACCUGGGAGGUGGAGGUUGCAGUGAGCUGAGAUUGCACCACUGCAUUCCAGCCUGAGUGACAGAGUGACACCCUGUCUCAA
rnacentral:SRP_RNA from 1 species